UUCUUGUUCGGAAGAACACGUACAAAAAUUGGAACGAUACAGAGCAGAUUGGCAUGGCCCAUACGCAAGGAUGGUGAGCAAAAUCGUGAAGCGUUUCACUUAUUU